UCUACACAUGAUUAUUCAUUUGUAAAGGCUGGAGGCUGAUUUCCAUUUAUUCCUGACUCUCAUGAGCUUAUUUUUUCCUUGUAAAUAAAAGAAAGAUGAUCAUUUCCAAAGUUCCUCAUUUUUUUUCUUUUUCUUUGUCUUUUUUUUUUCUUUUCUCUUUUUUUUUUUUUUCUUGUUUGUUUGCUAACGUUCCUUUGUCCUAGAAUUUGUUAGCAAAAUUGUCAUAGUUGACAAGUAUCUCCAUAAAUCUAUGUAGUUACAGAGCAGGGUAACAGAAUAUCAGAUUGGGUGUGGAUAACAAAGGGUUCCCUUCAAUUAAACAAGCACUUUGUAAUUGCUCUGGUGAUCAUGACUAAGCUGAUUUCAGACCAACUGCCCUCUGUGCUACCAGAGGAGGAAGGGGAAUUUUUUCAAGGAUCUUUUGGAGAAGCAAUAAAAUCAACACCAGAGGGACAGAUAAAAACUACGCUUCUACUUCUGUCAGUUCCUCCUGCUGUGGUGCUGUGGAUUGUGGUGACCAUGGAGAGAAGUCCUGGCAAAUGUGCUCAGCACUUUGUCUUCAGCCCUUGAAGCAAAGCAUGCACCACCUGCUCUGGGAUUUUGUAAUCACCCAGAAAGGGCUCAAGUGUGUCUCUGGUAAUUACUGGAUCUGCUGGUGGGUGAAGAAGGUCCAGAUAAAAGCCUAGAUGCACAAAAAGGCAAGGCUUUUUGGUGAUAAUCUGCAAGUAGUUCCUGAUAACAUAGUACAUCUUAAGAAAAAGAAAGCUGUACAGCCUCCUAUAAAGGACUAACUUUUACAGAUUAAUAUGCAGUGGGUAGGCAGUUUCCUCUACCCAGCCAGCUGUGCUUGGUUAGACCUGCAGAGCUUUUCUCUGUUUCUCCUUGUUGACGCUAGAAAUGGAGGGAAAAGUCUGCCUGUGUUCCUCCCACAUCACACAGUGACUAUUCAAGGGAGCCUGGAGUUUUGCAAGGAAUCUGAUCUCCCUGCACAGAAAUGUCUGAUGACUGAUCCUGUAUUGGGACACUUAAAUAGUUAUGGAGAUAUGAGGCUUGACAGAAAGAGGCUCUGGAGCAGUGUUGAUGCCAGCGGCUUGGUGGAGGGAGGACUGAGGAGAAGGUGGGUUGCUGAGCCAGAGGGCAGGAAGAGAGAGAAACGGGUUGGAGGCACAGACCGAUCCAGGAAAACGUGGGGACUUUCCACCAGAAAACUGGCAUCUCACCAGGUGAUCCUCAGGUCUGCUGGGAGAGGAUAUUGCUGUUUCCAUCCUUGCUGCAGGGAGCUUUGGCUCCCAGGUAUAGCUAGAUCGCUUCCAGAGUUGUUAUUGCAAAGUAGUGUUCAUACGAACUGGUCUGGGAGGCAAAAAAAUAAAACCCCUUCAGCUGGGUAUGUGACCUGUGGUGAAGUUUAAUCAGCUUUGCGAGGUAUAUUUUGUAUCCUACUGUUUCAAAUAAAUAAAUAAAGCUUCAUGUAAAAAUUAGGCA
rnacentral:lncRNA from 1 species